UACGAAGGGGGCUAGCGUUGCUCGGAAUUACUGGGCGUAAAGGGCGCGUAGGCGGAUAGUUAAGUUGGGGGUGAAAGCCCGGGGCUCAACCUCGGAAUUGCCUUCAAUACUGGCUAUCUUGAGUACGGGAGAGGUGUGUGGAACUCCGAGUGUAGAGGUGAAAUUCGUAGAUAUUCGGAAGAACACCAGUGGCGAAGGCGACACACUGGCCCGUUACUGACGCUGAGGCGCGAAAGCGUGGGGAGCAAACAGG
rnacentral:rRNA from 1 species